rnacentral:rRNA from 1 species
GACGAACGCUGGCGGCGUGCCUAACACAUGCAAGUCGAGCGAGAAGACGUAGCAAUACGUUUGUAAAGCGGCGAACGGGUGAGGAAUACAUGGGUAACCUACCCUCGAGUGGGGAAUAACUAGCCGAAAGGUUAGCUAAUACCGCGUACGCUCCUUGGACUUCGGUUCAGGGAGGAAAGCGAUACCGUGGGUAUCGCGCUCUUGGAUGGGCUCAUGUCCUAUCAGCUUGUUGGUGAGGAACGGCUCACCAAGGCUUCGACGGGUAGCUGGUCUGAGAGGACGAUCAGCCACACUGGCACUGCGACACGGGCCAGACUCCUACGGGAGCAGCAGUAAGGAAUAUUGCGCAAUGGGCGAAAGCCUGACGCAGCGACGCCGCGUGGGGGAUGAAGGUCUUCGGAUUGUAAACCCCUUUCGGG